UCGAGAAUUUUUCUCAAUGGGGGAAACCCUGAAGGAGCGACGCCGCGUGGGGGAUGAAGGGCUUCGGCUCGUAAACCCCUGUCAUUUGCGAACAAAGUGGAUUUAUAAAUAAUGGAUCCAUUGAUAGUAGCGAAAGAGGAAGGGACGGCUAACUCUGUGCCAGCAGCCGCGGUAAUACAGAGGUCCCAAGCGUUGUUCGGAUUCACUGGGCGUAAAGGGUGCGUAGGUGGCUACUUUAAGUUUGAUGUGAAAGCUCCGGGCUCAACCCGGAAAUGGCAUUGAAGACUAUUGAGCUAGAGGUUUGGAGGGGGGACUGGAAUGCUUGGUGUAGCAGUGAAAUGCGUAGAUAUCAAGCGGAACACCGGUGGCGAAGGCGAGUCCCUGGACAACACCUGACACUGAGGCACGAAAGCUAGGGGAGCAAACAG
rnacentral:rRNA from 1 species